CAAUCGGCUUUUUUCAGAGCCAACAAGUGUGUACUAAAGAGUUAUU
rfam:Aedes aegypti strain Liverpool supercont1.258 genomic scaffold, whole genome shotgun sequence.